CAGUAGCCGCGGGAAUACAGAGGGUGCGAGCGUUAAUCGGAAUUACUGGGCGUAAAGCGCGCGUAGACGGUUUUGUAAGUCAGAUGUGAAAUCCCUGGGCUCAACCUGGGAACUGCAUUUGAUACUGCAUGGCUAGAGUAUCGAAGAGGGAAGUGGAAUUUCCGGUGUAGCGGUGAAAUGCGUAGAUAUCGGAAGGAACACCAGUGGCGAAAGCGACUUCCUGGUCGAAUACUGACGUUCAUGUGCGAAAGCGUGGGGAGCAAACAGGAUUAGAUACCCCUGUAGUCCCUGUCUCUUAUAC
rnacentral:rRNA from 1 species